rnacentral:lncRNA from 1 species
AUUCAGAGCACCAUAAUGCAGUGACAUAGUGUGACCUGCGUGUCAUUUCACAAGCAAGUGUGGCUUUUCUCAGUUUAAGUGUAGCUGAUACAAUUUGCUUUGAGUUUGAUUUUAAUUCACAAAUUGAUGUUUUCCCCCUUAUUUAUCCUAACUAGGUUAAUGGCUUCUUCUUGUAAAUAUCAAAAGCCUUUUGACUCUUUUUUCUCUUAUUCUUCUGAAAAACAGGGAUCAACAGGAGGAGACAAACUGCUAUGAUCUCAUGUUGGGCUCUUCAGACUCCCACUUUGUGACUCUUGACCUGCCUUAGUGAAGGAAGAAUCCUUCCACAGAGUGAGACAGUCCUUGUUUAUGCCUCAUUUAUUCUCAAAGGAUCUGAGAUUGGAUAAUACAUCCUAGGUCACUUGACCUAUGGAAGGAAACUGUGCCCAGGAAAUCUCUCCAGUUCUUGACCCUCCUCUUGGACAAAUUUUAAAUUCUGGUAUUAAACGUCACCAAUGUGGAAGAAGAGGUAAUUAUAUUGCAAAAUGUUUUGGAUAUGUAUAAGAAAAUGGAGAAUCUAGUAAGUAAAAACUCUCUAAG